rnacentral:rRNA from 1 species
UGGGGGUUAUUGCACAAUGGGCGAAAGCCUGAUGCAGCGACGCCGCGUGGGGGAUGAAGGCUUUCGGGUUGUAAACCUCUUUCGCUAUCGAACAAGGCCCGCUUAGGGUGGGUUGAGGGUAGGUGGAGAAGAAGCGCCGGCUAACUACGUGCCAGCAGCCGCGGUAAUACGUAGGGCGCGAGCGGUGUCCGGAAUUACUGGGCGUAAAGGGCUUGUAGGCGGCUUGUUGCGCCUGCAGUGAAAACGCGGGGCUUAACUUCGCGCGUGCAGUGGGUACGGGCAGGCUUGAGUGUGGUAGGGGUGACUGGAAUUCCAGGUGUAGCGGUGGAAUGCGCAGAUAUCUGGAGGAACACCGAUGGCGAAGGCAGGUCACUGGGCCAUUACUGACGCUGAGGAGCGAAAGCAUGGGUAGCGAACAGG